rnacentral:rRNA from 1 species
AACGCGAAGAACCUUACCUGGGCUUGACAUGUCCCUGACCGCCGUGGAAACACGGCUUCCCUUCGGGGCAGGGUCACAGGUGGUGCAUGGCUGUCGUCAGCUCGUGUCGUGAGAUGUUGGGUUAAGUCCCGCAACGAGCGCAACCCCCGUCGCAUGUUGCCAGCAUUUAGUUGGGGACUCAUGCGAGACUGCCGGUGACAAACCGGAGGAAGGUGGGGAUGACGUCAAGUCAUCAUGCCCCUUAUGUCCAGGGCUACACACGUGCUACAUUGGCGCGUACAGAGGGCUGCGAUACCGCGAGGUGGAGCGAAUCCCUCAAAGCGCGUCUCGGUUCGGAUUGCAGGCUGAAACUCGCCUGCAUGAAGGCGGAGUUGCUAGUAAUCGCGGAUCAGCAUUGCCGCGGUGAAUACGUUCCCGGGCCUUGUA